ACCUUCGGGUUAGUGGCGGACGGGUGAGUAACGCGUGAGAAUCUGCCCUCAGGAGGGGGAUAACGGCUGGAAACAGCCGCUAAUACCCCAUAUGCCGAGAGGUGAAAUGAAUUUCGCCUGAGGAUGAGCUCGCGUCUGAUUAGCUAGUUGGUGGGGUAAGAGCCUACCAAGGCUUCGAUCAGUAGCUGGUCUGAGAGGAUGAUCAGCCACACUGGGACUGAGACACGGCCCAGACUCCUACGGGAGGCAGCAGUGGGGAAUUUUCCGCAAUGGGCGAAAGCCUGACGGAGCAACGCCGCGUGAGGGAUGAAGGCCUCUGGGCUGUAAACCUCUUUUCUCAAGGAAGAAGAUCUGACGGUACUUGAGGAAUAAGCCACGGCUAAUUCCGUGCCAGCAGCCGCGGUAAUACGGGAGUGGCAAGCGCUAUCCGGAAUUAUUGGGCGUAAAGCGUCCGCAGGCGGCCUCGUAAGUCUGUCGUUAAAGCGUGGAGCUUAACUCCAUUUCAGCGAUGGAAACUGCGAGGCUAGAGUGUGGUAGGGGCAGAGGGAAUUCCCGGUGUAGCGGUGAAAUGCGUAGAUAUCGGGAAGAACACCAGUGGCGAAGGCGCUCUGCUGGGCCAUAACUGACGCUCAUGGACGAAAGCCAGGGGAGCGAAAGGGAUUAGAUACCCCUGUAGUCCUGGCCGUAAACGAUGAACACUAGGUGUCGGGGGAAUCGACCCCCUCGGUGUCGUAGCCAACGCGUUAAGUGUUCCGCCUGGGGAGUACGCACGCA
rnacentral:rRNA from 1 species